GGUGUGUGCCUGUAAUCCCAGCUACAAGGGAGGCUGAGACAGGAGAAUCGCUUGAACCCAGGAUGUGCAGGUUGCAGUGAGCCAAGAUCACAUCAGUGUAUUCCAGCCUGGAUGACAGAGCAAAACUCCGUCUCAAAAGAAAACAACAAAGAAAGAACUUGUGCCCCUUACUCCUGCCACCUGGACAAGUCCUCAACUGCUUUCCCAUGAGAUAAAGCUGGUGGGAACCUCAUUCCCAUUUGACAGAUGAGAAGUGUGGCUCUGGAGAGGAGUCGAGACUUCUCUAAGGUCACACAGCCAGGGAGGUGGAUGUUAGGGUACCUGCCUCUGGUUGGGAGAAGCAUGGUGGACACGGAACUAGUGGAUUUGACAGGUGGGGGUGGCCCCCUAUUCACCUCUGUUGCUCCCGAACUCCAGAGUGACAGAGCUGGCCCUGGCAGUGGAGCGUCUUCACAAGCAGAAUCUGGAGAAGGAUCAGGUCAACAAGGACGUUGACGAAAAGUUUGAGGCCCUGGUCCAGAUGCUGCCUCUGAAAACCCAGCUGCCCACCCGUACACAGCUUGAUUUGGUCACCCCUCUGUGAGGCCUGGCCUGGGUUCUAGGUCCGGCUCUCCUCCAAUUGACUUUGUGACCAGUGGCAGGACACAACUCUUCUCUGGGCCUGGUCUGUUCAGUGAGGGCCUCGGGCCUGCUAUGGGGUCUACCAAGUGGCUGGCCUAUGGACAUGGCUUCAGAGGCCACCUGGAAUCCCUGUGGCUACAGGAACAGGCGGCCCUGGAGACAGAGGAUGGAGAGGGGCUACAGUAGAGCCUAAGGGACCUGGCACAGGUGUGAGCCCAGAGAGGUGGGAAGACAGGGCCCUGCCAGGCAGUCCCAGGCUCCCCUGCCACGUCUUUCGGUGGCCUGGGACUGAACUGCAAAUGGGUGGGGGCCUGGGACCCAGGCUGUAGCUGCUCAGCACCCCUGCUAGCUCACCCGGCCUCUGCCCUGGGGAGCCCCCAGUCUCAGAGGGGAGGCACGGCCCUUUCGGAGCCCACCUGUGAGCAACACCAAAUGACGUCUUCGCAAUAAAUGGGAGGCCUCAGUGGCGAGCUGAGGACUGAGCUAGUGGAGGAGGUGAAAUCAGGAAGGCUUCUUGCGGUCCUGUCUGACGCUGAGAGCGGCAGCCUGAGUCCAACAGCGUCAGGUGGCAGCCCAUGGGGGCUCUCGGGCCAGAGGACCCCAUUCCCACCACGGCACUCCUCGCAGGGCCGAGGCAGUUCGCCCAGCCAAGGCCCCUCCCCGGCCUGCUCAGACUCCUGCACUCUCCCUCUGAUCCCAUCCACUCCGCCCUGCACAAGCGCCAGCUGCAGGACAUGCGUGGGCGCUAUGAGGCAAGCCAGGACCUGCUGGGCACCCUGCGGAGGCAGCUUAGCGACAGCGAGAGUGAUCGGGGGUCCUAGAGGAACAGCUGCAGCGCCUGCGGGACAAGACCGGGGGCGCCAUGCAGGCCCACGAAGAAGCUCAGCGCAAGGUGCAGCGGGUGCGGAGCACCAAAGAGCUCCUGAGCAGGUGCUCGGGAGGUCUGAGCUGGGGGGUGCUGAAGAAUAAGUCAGCGUCUGGGUAUAACACCAGUCGAGCGUUACGGGUGUGCCUCUGCACUAAU